rnacentral:rRNA from 1 species
UACGUGGGGUGCGAGCGUUGUCCGGAAUUAUUGGGCGUAAAGAGCUUGUAGGCGGUCUGUCGCGUCUGCUGUGAAAAUCCGGGGCUCAACCCCGGACUUGCAGUGGGUACGGGCAGACUAGAGUGUGGUAGGGGAGACUGGAAUUCCUGGUGUAGCGGUGAAAUGCGCAGAUAUCAGGAGGAACACCGAUGGCGAAGGCGGAUCUCUGGGCCAUUACUGACGCUGAGGAGCGAAAGCGUGGGGAGCGAACAGG